UACCGAUGUGCAGGGGAGAGAAUGGUCCCUCAGAAUUCAGCAGCCUGUGCUCAGUCUCCGAGUGUGCGAAGAAGAGAAAAGGUGAGGAAACUGACAACUUGAAGAAGAUACCUAGCUUUCCCAUGAGCCUUUAGCUGGCAAGUGGAAGAACUGGAGUGCUCCUGAGAUGUCAGGGCCAUAUCAGUUUCAAACAUCGCUGUCACGGUGGGAGCAACCGAAGUUGAAACCGCCUGAAUGCUAAAUGUAGCCCCAGAGCGGAAACUUUGCUUUAGAGUUGCAAAGUCGCUGGAAUAUUCAUAGAAAUGUAAUAUGAGCAAAGGAUACCAAGUCAGUGUCAAAACUUUGUUCCAAACCAUAUUUGCUAUUUGUGAGACUGGCUCCUCAGGGCUCGGCUGGAGAUAAGGUCUUCAGGGGACUGGAUGAUGCUCACUCACCUUGGUGAGGGUGUCUUCUUUGCUCAGCCUGCCAAUCCAGAUGCUAAUCUCUCCAGAGGCCCUCUCACAGACACACCCAGAACCAGUGUUUAACCAGUUGUCUGGGCAUUCCUUGGCUUAGUCGAGUUGACACGCAAGAUUAAGCACCACAGUUGAGCACGGUUGGGCGCUGAGUUUUGUUGGAGUGUCCCAUUCUUCACAGGUAACAGGGAAGCUCCAGAUGGGAAGACAGAAGCCAGUCAAGGGGACACAAGAAGAGGCUCCACUGGGUUGCCCCUUAGGAAGCCUGCUGCAUGGGAGCAAGUGGCUGGCAGCUCAGAGCAGCGUAGUGAAGUCACCACCCAAGAGGCGCAUACAGGGAGGUCCUGAACAAUCAUCUCCUUGGCCCUCAUCACAACCCCAGGAGACAGCAGGCAGCACUCAUUUGGGUUUGUUCCUGGUCUGAUCCAUGUCCCCAGGAUCACUGCAUGAAGAGCCAUUACCAUGGACUGAAAAGGCCAGUGUGGAAGGCACCUUAUAUCCACUACCUCUCAUCUUCACUGUGACCCUGCAAGUUGUGGACUGAGAUUGCCACCAGUGAUGGUAGCAUAGGUACACACAUGGAUGCACGCUGAAAGGCAAACGCAGUAAGUCACGCUGGGGUGGCCUCUGGGUGUGCUUGCUCUCUGCUCCUGCCUGGGGGCCCUGUGCAGCACAGAAGCACAGGGCUAGGGGGUGCUGCUGGGGUUCCUGUUUCUGGGAUCUUGGAUCUGACCUCUGUGGCCAAACCCCUGCUCUCUGCUGAAAUCUGUGAAGUGCUUCUCAUCCCCACACUGUUUCCACUGCGCAGGUGGAUUUGAAGUGGAGUUUUGGGCAGGGUGGGCAGACAGGAAUGUCUCUGCAUGCAUGGAGAUGUUGCUGAGCACUGCUGGGAUGCAGGGGGAGACUGAGCAAACCAUUUUUAUUUUGGCAAUGAUUAUAAUGAAGUUAAACCAUUCCCUGCCUUCUGUUAAGCCCAUCCAAUCUUCUUGCUUUGGAUUCAAUCAAAUUCAGUCCAUCUGAGCAGCAGCGUUGUGGUUACUUGGUUCUCUCAGAGUUGGCUUUCUGCCUUGAGUGCCUCUCUAGCCCCAAAUGACCAUGUGACCUUGGGCAAGUCACUUCAUGUGUCUUAUCAUUGUCUGUAAAAUGGGUCAAAUGAUAGGACCACCCCCACUGGGGUAUGUGAGGGGCAGAGCCCAGGAAAAGGUCCUGGGCAUGGCACACAGCAUGCAUGAGUGUCAGCUUGCCAGUGCCACUGGGUGUGACGGGUCCCCUCACCCACCCAUUGUUCCCUAAGAGAUGCAGGCACUCAGCGUCAUUAUGAAGGAGCUUCAUCGCCAGACACAAAUCUAAUGCUAUUCUUCCCACGAGAGCAUCAAGCCACAGUCCAGUUUCAUGCUUUUCUAGGUGGCUAUUGAACAGCCUUACCUUUUGCAUUUUGUUUGAGAGGAGAGCCUUUGCUUCAAUUCACUGCCCUUGUACUUCCUUGAGAGGUGGCUUCUCAUCCCUGACUCCCACUGAAGGAACCUGCUGCUCCACUCUACUAGGGGCUUCUAAAAAUUGUGGGGUGUGUCUCAGGGCUGAUGUCCCCAUCAGAAGUCAAGUAUAAUUGAAUAUAUCUUUUAAAGUGAGAUUGCUAAUGGCAUCAUUUCUAGUCCCACCGUACAGCCUUUGGUCACUUCCCGUUUACCUAUGGAUGAUGAGCAUGGCCAUAGUCCUUCUUGAUGUCGUAUGGGCAGUGGCCCCCCUCCCCCCACAACCAGGAGACGUUCUCCAUCACAGCUCACAGCUGGCUUCACUCAGGUGCUCCGAAGACAUGUAUUCUGAGGAGCUCCUUCUCUUCAUUCAUUAAGCUGAAAGAAAUCACAUUUCCAGGGGACAGAGAUAAAUGCUGUGUACUUCUCUGAUUAAACUGCCUGCUGUUUUAAAUCUAUUUUCAGAGACUUUUUUCCUUCAAUAGACAUUCAAUGACACAACACAGUUAUAUCUGUAUUGGCAGUUUCUUCUGCCCUGUUUAUGUAGCGUGUGUGUGUGUGUGCACAAAAGUGAACAUGUGCCAAUCCAGUGGUCCCGUGUUAUGAUCGAUACAUAUUCAACAAUUAGGAAACUGCGCUUAAAAAAAAGCAGGGUUGGAUAUACAUCUCAUUGACCAGUAAAAAAAAAUUGCAUAGUUGGGUAAAACUAUGUUUAAUAUUUUAUGUGUUUAAAAUACUUUAUGUAUUUAAAACCACUAAAUACAUAAAGUACAUUAAAAUGAAAAAGUGCAGGGAAACAGUUGUCUCACCAAAGGUUUUCCAUCUGAAUGAUGGACUUGCCAUGGUCCCAGGGCAACUCUGCAGGUCUCUCCUGCAGGCUACUUUCCUAACAUCUCUGUGUUUCUGCAAGGUGUGGGGAACAGGACUAAAAAUGUCUCAGCCCUGGCCCACGGCUGUCCUUACAGCCUUCCUUAAUCGUUGAAAUCUCUGCUGCCACUUUGCCAAAAGAAUAACACCUCCCCCAGAA